UAUAGUUUAAUACAAAACAUUAGUCUGGUGACCUAAAAAUAGAAGCUAAAAUCUUCUUAUAAACC
rnacentral:tRNA from 1 species